rnacentral:lncRNA from 1 species
AGUCGGAUCCGAGUUAGAUUGACGACGGAUUGACGGGUCCAGCCACCGGUUGAACUUGAUCAAACACAGAGACCUGCGUCAAGUGACCCAUCAACAAACAGAUUUGGCAAUAAAUAAAAUGUUCUCAACUCGCGGAAACGCACAAGAUAGGCCAUCAAUUUGCCGCCGUCAAAACACGCCCCUGAAUUAUGAUCGAAAUUUUCGUAUAAAAGUUCCAGGGAUUCAGAAAAAAAGCAUCAGUUCCCUUGUAGUGGUUCCAGCACAGCAGGUGAAAGGCUCAACGAUCCACCAUGCACAAAUUAUUGGCUCUCCUUGUCCUGGCCGGCGUGGCUUUAGCUCACCCGCCCGCCUUCCCCCGCCGCUGCUCCAACUACAACCUUUUCCCCACCUGGAAUCCAUCCAUUCUGGCGGAGGUGGGUAGAGAAUGGAUCGUUGCCGCUUCAACCUACAGUGGAGCGGUCUUCGGAUGGAAAACCGAAUACGAUACGUGCGAUGCUUGGUUCACUUGCGGUGUCGCCCAUUGUGGAUCAUGCUCGUUCGUUAGUUUCCUCCCUAGCACCAAGUGGACCACAGGGGAAAUCGACGGCUGGAUCUUAGUGCAAUCCUCAUGGAAUUCUCGCUACGAGCGCUAUGACUACAUUGAGAGCUUGUUCAGCAGAGCAUACAAUGGUGCUAACUAUCCAGUCUACAGAACCUUCUUCAGGGAAAAUCUCGACAGGACCCUCUUCUCAUACAGGGAUAUUAUGGACCCGAGCUUCUUCAGUUACGAUUCCUACGUAAACGAUCUUUCCUACUCUAUGGGUAUUCUGUCUUUCUGCCCGAAGAGAAAAAUCCUUAUCUUGAUCGUCUGCAACAACUUCCAGUACAUUAACUACGUGGACAACUACCCGACUGUCAUCGUCCUGUCCCAGGACGCCAGACUCAACUUGGACCAGAAGGCCUUCGUCGUGUCCGAGCUUCAGAAGAACAACAUCAACCCCUACGGAGUCAUUCUCCGCGACAACUUCGGCUGCAGACCCCGCAACCUCUACACCCCGAGCAUCUACCUGUGAUCCCCCUACCCCCGGCGAUGACUCCGCGCGGCUACCGACUCAGCGCACGCCAGUUUGCUCGCAACACAACCGGUGGCGAUUCUCGAUGGUGUCCUCCGUUUAAUUGCAUGCAGAACAAUCGAUUCUUGUCCGGGCAGCUUGCCUCGCUCAAAAUCGAUCUUUUUGAUGGGUUUAAAUGGAGACGAAACAGUGCUGGCAACUUCCAGAUUCGCCACUGAGUGCAACCCAAUGCAAUGCCGUUUCAAGAGAAAUCUUCAAAUACAGAUCUGAAAGUCAACGCAAUUAUCGUCUGAUUGUCUACUUCCUUCUACUUAUUCAGUACCUCGCACCGCUAUAUAGAACCAGUGACCCCAGUCUAACAGAGCCCCCUAACUAACGGAUUUCAUCUUGAAAUAUGAGAAACACUAAAUACAGAAAACUCGAAUGCGGCUUUAAAAGUCAAGCAUGGUUACUUUUACCUCCUUCUUUUUAUUCAGAAUCUCACACCUUUAGAACCACUGACCCCAGUCUAACAGAUUGACAGAUCCCCAAAUAAUGGAUUGAAUUUUGAAAUACUUUUUUUGUCCUCUGGAGCUCAAACAUUUGCCACACUUUGAUCUUGUUUUCGCCGAGGUCAUGACGGUUUUGUAUACCUACCUCACGAGAGACAAUUGGACUGCAUUUUGCAAUUUGAAGCUAUAAAUUCCAGCCCGGUUUAAAAACAACGUAUGUGCCAUUAUUUUCCUAUGCACAUAAGUGUUUUUUUCAGAUGAGCCAGAAUUUAUAGGUCCAAAUUGCAAAAUACAGUCCAAUUAUUCGGCUCAUGACUCACGAGGGUAAGACGUAACCCGGUGAAAAUAUAUUAUGUAUGGGUUUUGCUAGAGAAGCAAUAGAAAAAGGGGGGAAAAGUGUUAAAACGUUUUCAGUACCUAUUUUCAGUCGCAGUAUCUAACUGCUGUUAAAAUAAAAAGAGGAAAGUUUUAAAAUAAAACUUACUGUGUGAGCUAUCGCAGUCAUUAACAUUUCUGAAACAAACAAGAAAACCAAAAAAAUGAAGAACAAUUAUCAUGGAUCAAAAACAUAAUCAUAAUCAUAAAAGAACAAUGCUACGAAUUGAAAGCCCGCACCAAGCUCCACACUCUGAUGACCAGCAAGAAAACUGCAUAACCACGUUUCCUCCUUCAAAGAAAUGGUGAAAUGGACCGAGUAUAAACAGAUCGAGAAUGAGGGGUUUGAAGUUAUAUUCCUUCAUAUGACUCGAAGCUUAAGAUGAAGUUCAACGCUUAUUUUACGUUCUAAUUGUUCUUCAUCCAGACUUUGAAUUUUUGACAUGAAAAUGUGCGGCUAUAAGCACAAAAACAUCUUUCCCUUCAAAAUUUGACUUGAUUUCAUUCUGUUUAAUGUAGUUGAAAUACAAUUUCGGUAAAAAUAUUUGAUCGACUACUGCGUCAAGCGGCGCUAUAUGGAGUCUAGUUGAUUCUAGGUUGGGUUUGGUCCGGCUGGGCAACUAAACCAACUUAGGGGUCAAGCGUAGAGUCUCAUGUGAAAAUGAAGGAGCUUCAAGCAGGAAUAAUUUUUCGGAUAAUGGAGAAAGAGGAAUCGUCAGGCCUUUAGCCUAGAGUUUUAGUCUGAUUGUGAACUGGACUACAUUUUGCAAUAAGGAACUAAUAUUUCUGCCUCAUUUCAGACACAAUUAGAGCCAUUAGUUUCUCUUUGCAGAUAGGUACUUUUGUGGGUGACUCAUAAAUUGUAGAUCCCACUUGCAAAAUAGAGUCAAAUUGCCACGUAACUUCUUUGGUACAAAUUUUCACGGCUCCAAUACGAAACAGCAUUGUUACUGGAAACAGAAUAAUAGGCACCACAUCAUUUCUUGGUCCAAGAAUUAAAAUUGUGCCUGAAAUCAGACGUGAGUAUCACGUGAGUGGUACGUGAGGAUGCCUUGGAACCUGGGCUGUUUUUAAUUGAAUCGUUCUACUCGAAAUAAGCUCAACAAAAAAUUUCAAUUUUCUUUAGAUUAGAAAGAUGGUGCAUUGGAUUGGAUCCGACUUUUAAUCUUAAGAUUAUCCUUGAUCAUUUUCAGCCCGUUCGGCAACUACCCAAACCUCGAGUUUACAAUCCUCCUCAACGUAAAAUUCAGUACUUUUUCAGUACCUCCACUUGACGAAAUUCGAAACAUAUCGAAAAUAUGAAAUUCUCGCUCGGAUUACGAUAAAAAUGACAAAGACACAAACUUUCAUCGGUGGCUUAAAAAUGAAGUGACGGCACAAUCGCGAUCCUGCAAGCGAAAACCACUCUAAAGAUUAACUCGCAGGAGAUUACAUCCUUUCCAGGCUCUAUUAGGAACACGCGUGGUAUGAGGGACGAAAUUCCGGACCUUCUUGCGGGAUAUCCAGUGCUUUUUCAGAACUUCCGGAACGCCCACCCUGGAAAUUCUGGACUAGUAGGCACUGACCAGAGACGAGAGACCCUCCACUAGUAUCUUGGCAAUGGUGGCAGCUUUCACUUUCAACAUUCAACUGUUGACCUACCUACUUGGUUGAUGGUUAACAACGUGUUGGCCGAAGUUUGGGAAACUUGUUUGGCUCAUGACGUCACCCGAAGCUCAUCAUCCACCAUGUAGGUAAGUCAACGGCCGAAACAAGAGUGAUGACUGUUGCUCCCUUAUAAUUUUUCACAAAGGCAUGUUGCAUCCCCGAGAGUAAAAAGCUUCCACCUGUCGCCAAGAGGACAGUGGAGGAUCUCCUGCCUCUGACACUAACUUUCGAACCUCCAACAAAUAUUCCAAAAAUCCCUCGAAAUAUCCCUUUUUGUAGAGUCCUUUUACACCCAGAAGUAAGACAUCUCGAUUAUCAGCUGGCCAUGGUGUCACAAAAGUGUGCACCCAAACGAACGAUAUUGAGGGAUAAGGAUAAGGAAUCCUACGAUGUCUGUCAUCCAAAAACAACAACUUCAACAAAACUGAUCAAAACCUAACCAAAGAAAUUGCAAUAAAAUAAAACUACAUUGAUUAAUGGAUAAUUUCUUAAUCUAUUUUCAUUUUGGUGCGAUGAAAAUAACAAUAUUCACUCUUGAUGAAGCACAAUUUGGUUAUAUUUUCAUUAUUUUUGGUCACAUUCGACUUACCGCCAUCUUGGUGCACUCAUUUUUUUUUUUUUUUUUUUUUUUUUUAAAUAAGAACAUAUUAUUUAUUAUUGAAAUACAAGGUGGAACCAUAAUUUGACAGAAUUAUGGCCGAAGGCCUGAUUAUACAUGUUAAAAAGAUAUUCAGUGUGAAAUUCCUAGUUUAAGUUUUACAUUGUGGUUCCCCCUUUAUAGAUUCCCAAAAAAGAGACUAUUUUAAUAAUAUAUUACAAUGAAGAUCCUCGGUCUUCUUUUUGCUAUGUUUCGAUGUUCCCCUCCGAAUUGUCAAUUGACUUGUCAUCGAGGGAGGAAGCAGGGUUGGCUUCUAACAAUAAGUCCUCUUUUGCGGAGAGUGUGUCACUUUCAUUCAAAAUCUUUUGUUUCUUCUGUAGGGUUUCUUUGAUGUAGCUGCGUAUAAUUUGCCAGUUCCUCUUAGAAGAUAUCAUGAUGUUGAGUAUGUUUUGAGUUGAAAGUUUCUCGUCUAAUUGUUGUUCUAAUUUUACUCUGAUGUCUUCAUUGUGAUAACAUUCGAAAAAUGUGUGGAAAGGGGAGUCUUCUUUAUAGCUACAGCUGCAGUAUGGAGAAUCUCGUUUUUUAAAUCUGCACAUGCAGAUAUUGUCCAAAAGAACCAUGGCCCGAUA